GUGUCAGCCGCCGCGGUAAUACGGAGGGUGCAAGCGUUGUUCGGAAUUAUUGGGCGUAAAGAGCGUGUAGGCGGCCUUGUAAGUCAGAUGUGAAAUACCUUGGCUCAACCAAGGAAGGGCAUUUGAAACUGCUUGGCUUGAGUACGGGAGGGGGAAGCGGAAUUCCCGGUGUAGAGGUGAAAUUCGUAGAUAUCGGGAGGAACACCGGUGGCGAAGGCGGCUUCCUGGACCGAUACUGACGCUGAGACGCGAAAGCGUGGGGAGCAAACAGGAUUAGAUACCCUGGUAGUCCACGCCCUAAACGUUGGGCACUAGGUGUUGCGGGUAUUGACCCCUGCAGUGCCGAAGCUAACGCAUUAAGUGCCCCGCCUGGGGAGUACGGCCGCAAGGCUAAAACUCAAAGGAAUUGACGGGG
rnacentral:rRNA from 1 species